rnacentral:tRNA from 1 species
GGUAGAAUGGUUUAGUGGACAAAGCACUAGAGUAGAACUCAGGAAGCCUGGGUUUUCUUCCUGGUUCUGUCA